GGAUCAAUAUGUUGGUCGUGUCUUGGUACGUACUAAUUUAUUGGUUUCUUCCUACUGACGAACCAUGAUGUCAUUAAUUUGGUGACUUGGGGAAUCAGGACUGUUACUUUGAAAAAAUUAGAGCGUUUAAAGCAGGCUCACGCUUGAAUACAUUAGCAUGGAAUAAUGAAAUAGGACGUUUGAUUCUAUUUUGUUGGUUUCUAGGAUUGACGUA
rnacentral:rRNA from 1 species